GUCAGAAUUGCUGAAUCCUACCUCUGCCUUUGAGACGAGUGGCCGGGAGGCGGAGCUGGGUGUGAUGAGUGACGUUGAGUUGGCCACACCCAUCCAGUCACAUGACCACCUGGCCACGCCUACCCAGCCAGAGAACCAGUUGUUAAAUUAUUUAAAUCCCACUAAUGCAUGAUGGUUGUUCUUCGGUUCAACCUAACCUACAAGUAAGCUGACUAAAUCAGUCUCCUCUAGUUUAUGUGUUCUUACUUGGAAGUAAAGUCUGCUUCACCUAGAAGGAUUUACUACAGAAGAUGAAAGAAAUGAAAGAAAAUGCAGCCAAAUUGCUGGAGUGACCCGUCUCUCAGAACAAUGGGGCAGCAAAGGAUCCCAAUCUGACUCCCCCAUCCCAAGGCCAGUCUCCUGCCUUUCUAUUCCCCGUCAUGGAGGUGACAUCCAAGACAGGCCCUGUGUUGGGUCUUGCAGCCUUAAUUCUCCAGCCUUGGAGUCCAUGAUCCUGUUGUGGUCUGCCAGCAGCCCGUGGAGAUAGCAGCGGAGUUGGACAGUGAGGAGGUUGGGGAGGACAAUGGGCCAGUCCUGGAGUCUGGGGAAGGCCCAGACAAGGGCUCUGCGUCGGAGGCAGAGAUGGGGCCAGGGCCAUCUGGGAGUGAUGUGUGGACUCCGGAGCCUCCAGAGGCAGACAGCAGAGAGGCAGAGGAACAGGAGGAGCCUGUUCCUAGUGCAUGCAUGUGCAGAGCUGCCAGAAGGCAAGAGCAGCUAAAGCAAAAAGGACGACUCGGGAGUAAGGCCAGGAGAUGAUUGGCGCCUCCCAUAAGGCUUAAAAGAGCAGCAAAGGCUCUUGGGCUCUUUGUAGGAAAGCAAUGUUGCUAAAUCUGUUUUCCAGUCGGCUUCUCUUGUUUCUGAACUUCGUGGGGCUUUGCCAAGAAAGGCCUUUGGCAGGGUGCCAAAGAAGAUAAAGGUUUGUGAUAAGCCCGAAGGACAUUUUCUAAAGGACUUGUUUGGGAAUUAAUUUGGACUAAGCUGGGAAUGAAGUAAUUCUCAACUGUUAUAAUAAAAUAGUUUUGUUUGAGACUAAUUGUGUCCUGUAAUGACUAGGUGAGCCUAGGUCACAACAGAUCCAGAGAGAUCUGAUGGAAUUUAUUAAGAAAACAGCAGCACUGAAAAAAGUGACUUCCAACUGAUCCUUGCACUUAUGACCAUUGGUGUCCUCCCUACAGUCACAUGAUCAAAAAUUAGGUGCUUAGCAACCGGCAUGUAUUUACGAUGGUUGCAGCAUCUUGGGAGUCGUGAUUGCCAUUUGAGACUUUCACCGCCAGCUACCAACAAGCAACGGGAUUCGCGCUUAACCGUGGCAGAAAAGGUUGUAAAAUUGGGCAUGAAUCACUUAACCAACGCCUUGAUUCGUGAUGGAAAUUCAGUUUUCAACUGUGAUCAUAAGCUGACGAUAUCUGGAUAACAACUUUGUGUUAGGAUGUCAUCUAGUGACCAGCAUAAAUAAUUCACAUAAUUUAUACAGCGAUAAUGUUUGAUUCGGCAGGGUGAUGCUAAGAACUUUUGACGUUAUUGGUCUAACUCAGGGGUCCCCAAACUUGACAGCUUUAAGAUUUGUGGACUUCAGCUCCCAGAAUUCUCUAGCCAGUUAUGCUGGUUGGAGAAUUCUGGAAGUUGAAGUCCACAAGUUGUAAAGCUUCCUAGUUUGAAGACCUCUGGUCUAACUGGACGGUGUCCCUGGGCGGUCAAAAAUGCCACAAUCAUUGCAACUGAAGUCCCACCCCUUUUUAAUGUCAAUUGUUAAAAAAAGGAUAGGGCUUUAAUCGCUUUAAGCGGCCGCCAUCUUGACUUUUUUGACUCCUUUCCUGUGGACAACCCUGCGUUGUCUUGAAGGGAGGGAGGGAAAGAGAGCAAGAGAGGCAUUAUUAUUAGUCUUUUUAAGAGCAACUCAAAUGUUAUUCUGUUUGCUUUAUUAGCACUUAAGAUUUGUAUGCUUGGCUUUACUCUUCUGAUCGUGUAAAGGCAACUGACCCAGUUUCUUUUGAGUUUUCAGCAUUGGGCAAAAAUCUCCCUUUUCCCCUUCAUGUCGGCUUCAUUGUUUCUCUAUAAUUUACAUUUACCCUUUUGUAAUCUAUGCUGCGUACUCUUGCAUGGUGGAAAGGUGAUCGAAGGAAUUAAAUUAAACGACUGAUGAUAUUCGA